UACGGGGGGGGCAAGCGUUGUUCGGAAUUACUGGGCGUAAAGGGCUCGUAGGCGGCCAACUAAGUCAUACGUGAAAUCCCUCGGCUUAACCGGGGAACUGCGUCUGAUACUGGAUGGCUUGAGUUCGGGAGAGGGAUGCGGAAUUCCAGGUGUAGCGGUGAAAUGCGUAGAUAUCUGGAGGAACACCGGUGGCGAAGGCGGCAUCCUGGGCCAACACUGACGCUCAUGCACGAAAGCGUGGGGAGCAAACAGG
rnacentral:rRNA from 1 species